GGGAGGAGGGUCUGCGGUCAGACCAGGUUGAGCGUCUCAAAUUCACCUUCAUGCUGGGGUUUCUCAGACCUUAACGGAGGCGAUGUCCUGGAACUGUCAGUCAACCAUCCAGUGAGCAGAGUCCUCUUCCCGCCUCUGACUUUCUUCGCUCGAUCUCCGAAAUGGCAACGUCUUACUGCUCAUCUCUCCCACAGUUCUAUGUUUGAAUGCCACGCUGUCACUGGAAGCCAUCUUUCCCACUCACUGCCUGACACCACCUGCCCUCAAGUGACUGCAGCUACAUUCACACAGGGAGCACAGAUCUGUUUCUUGGUGUAUCCACUAUUAUGACUGGAUAUUUCUUCUCAUGUAUCCAGCAAAAACAACCCACAUGAAAUCAUAUACUGCUAUAUUUAGUUCAGUCACUGCGAUCCAAGUGUUUGACUUCAUGAACCGCGACUGGAGCAGAAAACAGGGCUUACAGUCUCCGGGGCUUCGCAGCCUUGAUCAAGAGUUUAUGUAACAUCCAGUGGAGCUGAGGAGAGGAGCCUGUGUGACUGUGGAUCAGGAGCAGUGAUCUGUGGAUGAUGCAUUGUGCACAACCCAGGGACUUUUCGCCCGCUGGCUGUAUUGCCGGCUGAGGGUUUCUGACUUUAAAAGACUCAGAUAUGAAGCAAACCUCAGUUACAUCACAGACGACCAAGUGUGUUAGAUAAUGUAUCUCCUAACCAAGGAGGUAUGGAUUUGAUGACUGUUGUAAGCACUAUUAUUAAAAAUGUAAACCAUGAA